GACGAACGCUGGCGGCGUGCCUAAUACAUGCAAGUCGAGCGAGCUUGCCUAGAUGAUUUUAGUGCUUGCACUAAAUGAAACUAGAUACAAGCGAGCGGCGGACGGGUGAGUAACACGUGGGUAACCUGCCCAAGAGACUGGGAUAACACCUGGAAACAGAUGCUAAUACCGGAUAACAACACUAGACGCAUGUCUAGAGUUUGAAAGAUGGUUCUGCUAUCACUCUUGGAUGGACCUGCGGUGCAUUAGCUAGUUGGUAAGGUAACGGCUUACCAAGGCAAUGAUGCAUAGCCGAGUUGAGAGACUGAUCGGCCACACUGGUACUGAGACACGGACCAG
rnacentral:rRNA from 1 species